rnacentral:rRNA from 1 species
AUGGAGUGCAACAAGGAUGAGGCCCUUAGGGCGAAGCAAAUUGCAGAGAGGAAGUUUGAAUCCAAGGACCUGCAGGGUGCCAAGAAAUUCGCACUCAAGGCCAAGUCUCUCUUUCCGGAUCUUGAGGGCAUUAUGCAGCUGAUCAUCACCUUUGAUGUUUACCUUACCUCAGAACUGAAGGUUGCUGGUGAGAAUGACUAUUACUCUAUCCUCUCUGUCGACACGUCAGCAGAUGAUGAAACAGUGAAGAAGCAGUACAGGAAGUUGGCACUUCUACUCCAUCCUGACAAGAACAAAUCAGUGGGCGCUGAGGGUGCUUUCCAGUUGGUUAAAGAGGCAUGGACUGUGUUAUCUGAUAAAACCAAGAGACUGUUGUAUGAUCAAAAAAGGAAAGUAGUUGUACUACAACAGAAGACAGCCCAAUCAAAUAGGACAAGUGCAACUCAAGGUGCAACCAAUGGCUUCGAGAGUUUCGCAGCCAAAUCACCUGCUUUCAAGCCAAGAGCAAACAAGCCAAAGACAGGGUCAACAACAUCUGCAGCGCGCCAGCGCCCACCCCCACCCCCACAGCGCCCGCCUCCUCAUCAUCAGGCUCCUGCUCCUGCUCCACCUCCAGCAAUGAAGGACACAUUUUGGACCUCAUGCAACAAAUGCAAGAUGAAUUUUGAAUAUCUCAGAGUGUAUAUAAAUCAUACUCUUCUCUGCCCUAGCUGCCGCGACCCAUUCCUUGCAAAAGAGGUACCGGUGCCACCAACUGAGGAUGUUCAUGCAGGAAGGGGCUCAAACAUCAGUGGUGCACCUCAAGAUGCAAGCACUAGGAGAAAUUUUCAGUGGGGUCCAUUCUCAAGGGCAGCUGGUGCAGCCAGUGCUACUGCAUCAUCAUCUGCUGCUGCUCAAGCUGCUAAUGUGGUUCAUCAGACAUAUGAGAAAGUUAAGAGAGAGAGGGAGGAGGCACAAGCAGUAGCAAGAAGGGAAGAAGCUUUUCAGAGGAAGCACAAUCCUCUAAAAAGGCAAGCAGAUGUGUCAAUGAACCAUGGAAUGGGCGAUACUGCAUUUGGAAAGAAGAUGAGAACUGAUGCUGGAGUUGGUUCAUCCAUUCCCUCAGGUCCAUGGGCCCAAUUUGCUAGAAUGCCAGUUGGAACUAUACCAUUUUCAACCAACAGUGCCUUUGAGUUUCAGAUUGUUAAUGGUGUGCCCACUUGGAAGCCCAGGCCUGUUACUCGGCUCAGCGUAACUAAGAUUUUCUCUAAGUCAGAUCUUAAGAGAAUUUUGGUUGACAAGGUGAAGAGCGAUUUGAAGGAGAAGCUAAGUGAGAUACGAAGUAGGUCAAUCCAAGUUACUGUUGAUGGUCCAGCGAGCAAGAAAUAUGUUGAGGUUAGCAAAGCAACAGUUGAUUCUACUGCAAAGAAAGAUGUUUGUGUGGAUCCAGAGGAGAAUGGUUCUGCUAAUAGCAAUGGUUCUGAUGAUAGCACAGCUGCUGGAAAUGAAGAUGAGGACCCUAUGUCUUAUACUGUUCCUGAUCCUGAUUUCCAUGAUUUUGAUAAGGAUCGUACCGAGGAAUGUUUUCAGAGUGAUCAAAUUUGGGCUUCAUACGACGAUGAUGAUGGCAUGCCUCGUUUCUACACAUUUAUUCAGAAAGUUAUCUCCUUGAACCCGUUUAAGGUCAAAAUAAGUUACCUCGAGUCGAAGACGAAUAGUGAAUUUGGACCAUUGAGUUGGGUUUCUUCUGGCUUUGCAAAGACGUGUGGUGAUUUCAGGAUUGCCAAACAUGAAAUCUGUGAUGUGGUCAACAUGUUCUCUCACCAGAUUAAAUGGGAGAAAGGCCCACGUGGGAUGGUCAACGUUUACCCACGGGAAGGCGAUAUCUGGGCUUUGUACCGAAACUGGUCCCCUGAAUGGGAUGGAGAUACUCCAGAUAAUGUGCUGCAUGUCUAUGAUCUGGUUGAGGUACUGGAUGAUUAUGACGAAGAUCAUGGAAUCUCUGUAAUUCCCUUGGUUAAGGUCACUGGAUUUCGGACAGUUUUUCAGCGUCACCAGAACCGGAACGUCAUCAAGAGGAUUCCGAAAGAGGAGAUGUUUCGGUUUUCACAUCAGGUCCCCUUCUAUAGGUUGUCUGGGGAAGAAGCUCCAAACGUCCCCAAAGAUAGCUAUGAGGUAGACCCAGCUGCAAUUCCGAAGGAACUUCUUCAGGGGAUCACAGAAACAGCGGAGGAGGCAGAAGGAACUUCUAAAUCCAGUUGA